GACGAACGCUGGCGGCGUGCUUAACACAUGCAAGUCGAACGGAAAGGCCCUGCUUUUGUGGGGUGCUCGAGUGGCGAACGGGUGAGUAACACGUGAGUAACCUGCCCUUGACUUUGGGAUAACUUCAGGAAACUGGGGCUAAUACCGGAUAGGAGCUCCUGCUGCAUGGUGGGGGUUGGAAAGUUUCGGCGGUUGGAGAUGGACUCGCGGCUUAUCAGCUUGUUGGUGGGGUAGUGGCUUACCAAGGCUUCGACGGGUAGCCGGCCUGAGAGGGUGACCGGCAACAUUGGGACUGAGAUACGACCCAGACUGCUACGGGAGGCAGCAGUGGGAAAUAUUGCACAAUGGGAGGAAGCCUGAUGCAGACACGCCCCGUGCGGGAUGACGGCCUUCGGGUUGUAAACCGCUUUGGCAUGUGACGAAGCGUGUGUGACGGUAAUGGGUAAAGAAGCACCGGCUAACUACGUG
rnacentral:rRNA from 1 species